rnacentral:rRNA from 1 species
AUUGAACGCUGGCGGCAUGCUUUACACAUGCAAGUCGAACGGUAACAGGCCGCAAGGUGCUGACGAGUGGCGAACGGGUGAGUAAUGCAUCGGAACGUGCCCAGUCGUGGGGGAUAACGCAGCGAAAGCUGUGCUAAUACCGCAUACGAUCUAUGGAUGAAAGCGGGGGACCGUAAGGCCUCGCGCGAUUGGAGCGGCCGAUGUCAGAUUAGGUAGUUGGUGGGGUGAAGGCCCACCAAGCCAACGAUCUGUAGCUGGUCUGAGAGGACGACCAGCCACACUGGGACUGAGACACGGCCCAGACUCCUACGGGAGGCAGCAGUGGGGAAUUUUGGACAAUGGGCGCAAGCCUGAUCCAGCAAUGCCGCGUGCAGGAAGAAGGCCUUCGGGUUGUAAACUGCUUUUGUACGGAACGAAACGGUUCUCUCUAAUACAGGGGGCUAAUCACGGUACCGUAAGAAUAAGCACCGGCUAACUACGUGCCAGCAGCCGCAGUAAAAC